AUGUGGUUUAAAGCUUCCAAGCUCAGAUAGAUUUUUGGCUUCCAAUUGCGGCAACUUUCCUCUCUUCUCCAUGUGAGAAAACCCUCACAUGAUGGACUUCAUUCAUACCCCGUGAAAUGUUUUAGAGAUCCCUCCUUUCCUUAGCUCCCAGACUCGGUGGUCUCCGUCCCGAAACGGCAGGCAAUCCCGAUAUACUUGGGUUCCGGGGAUUUCGUUACAUUUCAAACUUCUAUUUGGAUUGGGUGUUCGUGGAUUUCAAAGUGAGAAUGGGUCACCAAAAAGCUUUCAUUCUUUUCCUGCCGCCUUGCUCUUUGCCAUUUUUUGUUUGUUCUUCUCUUUGUGGAUCAAAAGCUCACCACUUUGCAGGCGUCCCGGGCAACGGCAUCUCUUCGAUUGGUUGUUGGACAAAACCAUUUUGCAGCCCCGAGUUAGUUGAAGACAAUUGUUGAUUUAUGGCUCAAAAGGUGAGAGUUUGCAUCCUUAAAUUCGUAGUAAUGCACUCCUCGUAUCUGCUGUAUUUUGAAUGAGUUUUGAUGUAUUUAGAGUGUAAGUAUUCGCUGGCAUUUUUGUUUCCACAGGGGAAAUUAUUUGACUGGUCUUGACAAUGGGGAUUUGGACACACUUUUUUGUGUUCCCAUUCGUAUUUCGUCUUGAAUACUUGCCAUAUUUUCUAAUUAACACUUGUACAAAGUAAUGCUUUUCCCAAAAUCUUUUGUAGUUUUGACUUGUCUUCUAGUCCAUUGGGUGUUUUGCCAUGUGAAUGAGUUUUCUAAAUAAUUUGGCAGUAAGCUUCUCUUUCUUUGUAGACUUGGGACAACAAGUGUUUAAUAUAAAGGCUUUGAACCUUCUCUUUUUUUUUGUCCCAUCUUCUCGUGGCAAAGAAGGCUUUGAACCUUCUUUUAAAUGUUUGUGGCAGAAAAGCAGGUGAGAAAUUUUGACGUGAUGAAAACACUCUGUUCUUUCUUCACGUGACAAAGAAGGCUUUGAACCUUCUUUUAGCUGUUUAUUCAAAGAUUGGGAAAUUUCCUUUCUUUCCUUUUUGUCUUGUAGUAGUCUUUGGUCAAGAGUUGUGUUUGAAAAACUUUUCUUCUUGUGGAAUUGGACCAAGCAGGAGUCGGUCAAGGGGAGCAAAAGUUGCAUUUUACUUCUUUUCCCUUGUUUAUUUUGUCCACAAAUGCAUCUGUUUUCUCAUUGGACAGCAAAGAAUGACUUUCAUUAGACCUUUGAUUGGAACUUCACGGGGUGGUCUAGGCCACCCCGAAGAAAUUCAUGGGAUUCUGGCAGCGGCGAGGAGCGGAGCCCUUUUGCGUUUUUGUUCUCUUCAGAUUUAGACAGAAAGAAAACAUGUGGCUGCUGCCAUUUUUCUUUGGACUGCUUUGUGUUGUUUUUGCAGGUAUAGAAGAGUAGUCGGACUACCAUUUAAGAAACCUUCCCUACAUAAAAAACCUUUUCCGGCAGUUUUCUUGUAUAAACUGAAGGUUACUAGUUCUGAGUGUUUGGUUAUGCACCCUUUUUCUUUACUUCCAUCUGCAACACAACAUUGAACUAGAGAAAUAAAAAUUAACAGAACUUAUUUCAUACCUGGUAAUGAAUGUUCUUCUUUUUUAUCUUGACUCGAAUGCACGAAUGAUUGGUCUCUUUGUUCUCUUUUCUGGCAGCAGUUCGUUGCCUUUUGAUAUUUCUCUCAAAGUUGCUUUUAUUUUCUGCAGAGUUUCCCCUUCCUUUUUUCUGUCCUUUUUUUUUUUUGUUGUUGCAGCUGAUGCCCAUUUAUAGGCAUCAUAGGAGGGUUCUAGAGCUUGUUACGUGGGGAGAAGAUGGAGGGCAUGACUUCC